GAUGGCCAACAGGUAGAGAUUCCUGUACUAGAGUAUAGAGUGAAGGAGGGACGCAGUAGGCUAACUCAAGCGUGCGAAUGGAAGAGCACGUCUAAGCAGUGAGGUGUGAUAGGAGUCAAAUGCUUCUAUCUGUAACAUUGAGCUGUGAUGGGGAGCGAAGUUUAGUAGCGAAGUGAGUGACGUCACACUGCCAAGAAAAGCUUCUAGCGUU
rnacentral:rRNA from 1 species